rnacentral:rRNA from 1 species
ACCGGCAGCUCAAGUGGUGGCCAUUAUUAUUGUUCCUCCCUCUUUCUUCCCCGGGUUGAUAAGUCUCUGGUGAAAUCCCGCAGCUUAACUGUGGGACUUGCUGGAGAUACUAUCAGACUUGAGGUCGGGAGAGGUUAGGGGUACUCCCAGGGUAGGGGUGAAAUCCUAUAAUCCUGGGAGGACCACCUGUGGCGAAGGCGCCUAACUGGAACGAACCUGACGGUGAGUAACGAAAGCCAGGGGCGCGAACCG